rnacentral:tRNA from 1 species
GCCCCGGUAGUACAACGGCUAAGUAUACUGCCCUCUCACGGCGGAGAUUCGGGUUCAAUUCCCGGCUGGGGCA